CAGCAGACACAUUCCAGCCAAUCAGCAGCAGACCCUCCCUCCCAGACCCUCCGACCUCCUGGACAGCAUCCAUUUUACAUUCAUUGUGAAGCUGCAUUCUUAGUGAGCUGUCCAGGAGGUGGGAGGGUCUGGGAGGGAGGGUCUGCUGCUGAUUGGCUGGAAUGUGUUUGCUG